rnacentral:misc_RNA from 1 species
GUAGAUUUCACUGGAUGCAAAUAGAUUACAAAAACAAUAACUCCUGUACAAUUUCAAAUGACUACUAUACAAUAAUUUAAGGAGCUUACAAAAUCCAAGCGAGAAUCGAUACUAUUUACAGCAGAUAGUAUGCUCCAAGCAAAACAAAUCCUUCAACAAAUGGACUGGAGUUGGAAUAGCAUUGGUCUCUUUCUUUCCAAAUGCAACACAUGA